CUUAAAUACUCCUUUGCUAAUUAAGUUAUUAAAAAUAACCCGUUCAUCAUUAUAGAAUGUAACAGUCAGCAACUCCAUACUAAGUAUUAUCAAAUCAUUAAAUGGUAAGAUAUUUAGAAAAAGAGCCAGUGUUAGAUUGAAAAGUGAAGUUACUGUAGUAGCUUUUGGGACUAAAUUGGUCCAACCUAUUUCUGUUUAUUUUUCUUUUGCUCAGCUAGAUACCAGUUCCACUGCCUACUCAAAUACAAUUGCACAUCACAUGCUAACGUCUGAACUGAUACCAUUCUCCACAUAUUAACGAAAGCGGAUAAUUUUUACAGCUGAAUUCCGUAUUGCCGACAGUUGCAAUUAGAUUCGAAAAAAUUAGCCACUUAUCCUAAAUUCGUUUGAAAACCUGAGACCGGUUAGAGAAAAAAAUAUCAUUUUUCUUAGAUGACUGAUUCUUCAGCUUCUGCGCCUUUCGAAAAUUCGAUCAAUACCUUGGCACAUACCUUGGAUUAAAGAAAGCUGGCGAUAGCUGCCCUGCCUACGUUUAGUCAAAGCAGUAAUCAUUCGUACAAUGUUUAGGAAAUGCAUUAUCGCAACUCGAGACUUUUUUAAUUUGACUAGAAGAAGGGUUAAGUUUCGUAGCCUUCUUGUCUUUUAAUGUAUCUACUGGAGGAAGGAAGAAAUAUGUGUGCACUAACAAUGUCUCGUUGCAUCAAAGACGCUGAGUGUGGUUACCACUCGCCAGCUUCUCUUCACUAAUGCUGGUGAGUAUCUUUUUUUGCGAUCUGCCCUUUACAAAUUUUCGAUUGUUGACUUUGACAAAACCACAGACAGGGCAGCUUCGUCAACAUGGAGCAUUUUUUUCCCACAAGGCAUGUCUGUAUUCUGCCGUGACUGUUAAGGCAGUAAGCAUCUCUUAGUACGAAGCUGGCCUGAUCUUGCGUUUAUGUCUUCAGCAUGUUUUUAAUAAAUGUAUUAACUUAAGGGAAAUAAAAGGUAACGUGCUGAUUUUCGUCCUUCUUGACAGCAAGACGUUCAGGUUUUUGUGGAUGUUGCAAUUGUUGCGGUGGCUUCGGAUGUCCUCAUGUUUGUCAUCACUGCUGUGGCGGUUGCUGUGGCGGUUGCUGCGGAUGUUGCGGCCAUGGUUGCGAAUCGAUAACAUUCCCAGUUGAGUUUGGAGCGUGUGUUGACAAUCCUUGUUGUCAAUGCUGUAAGAAAAAACCGAAGAAAGGUCACUGUCAGUGGCCAUGUAUGUGGCCCUGCUGCUGUGAGUGCAAAGUUCCUGAAUUUAAGUUGAAGCCCUUGAAGCCUAAAGCUGUCCCUAAGGAUUGCCAUACUUGCUGCCAUGGUUGCCAUGGUUGCUGCGGUUGCUGUCACUGCUGCCAUUGUUGCCGUAAGAGUGGAGUUGAUUACAAGCGAUGUCAUAUUCCCCCGAGCAUUACAGAUAUUCAACCGCUUCCAUAUUUCUUCAGUCCCGUGGUUCCUCUCUACUAUGGGGUGCCAUUUCCGCCGCAGUAUCCAUACUAUUACUUCUGAGGACGAACGCCCUAUAGAAGGAUGGCAACGGCAUAUCACAGAAUAAUACAUUAAUUUCGAUUUAAGAUUUCGGACAAUAGUAAAACGUUUUGAUUAAUUAGGGUGUUAAAGUUAUAGAUCUUUAAAUAAAUGUAGUUAGAAAACAUUUACAAAUCAAUCAUUGCUGCAAUAAAGAAACAAUUUGGGACAUGUAAAUAUCUGUUGAAGUUUUGAAGUAUCUAAUGAAGUUUUGAUGUAAUGUUUUCGCCAAAAAUCUUAUAUCUAAGGUACGUGGAUCUCACUAUUACUAUGAUAAAUGUAUUUUUAAGUUAAAAACAAACUAAAUCCAAGUAAAUGUUAUUAAUUAAAAUAC